CAUUAGAGAAAUAAGCCCCACAGUGGGCGAUUCUCCACCCUGUGUUUACAUCACGCUGUUGCUUUGGCGGGCCGUGGGGCUGUCAGUCCUCCACCGGCCUAUGCUGGUGUGUGCCCGUCAGAGGAUAUUUUACAUUCUGUUUAUCAUUGUUGUCUGAGCAUUAUACAAUCGUUAAAACUUUCAACAACGGAUCUCUUGGUUCUGGCAUCGAUGAAGAACGCAGCGAAAUGCGAUAAGUAAUGUGAAUUGCAGAAUUCAGUGAAUCAUCGAAUCUUUGAACGCACAUUGCGCCCUCUGGUAUUCCGGAGGGCAUGCCUGUUCGAGCGUCAUUACAACCCUCAAGCCUGGCUUGGUGUUGGGCCUCCGUCCACUGGACGGGCCUGAAAAUCAGUGGCGAUGCCCUUCCAACUUCAAGCGUAGUAGAUCUAUCUUCGUCUUGAGUGGUUGGAUGGUGUGGUUUGCCAAAAUCAAACCUCUGGUUUUAUCAUCUGGUUGACCUCGGAUCAGGUAGGAAUACCC
rnacentral:rRNA from 1 species